rnacentral:rRNA from 1 species
CAGCAGCCGCGGUAAGACGAAGGUGGCGAGCGUUGUUCGGAAUCACUGGGCAUAAAGCGCACGUAGGCGGUGACGUAAGUCGGGUGUGAAAUCCCUCGGCCUAACCGAGGAACUCCGCCCGAUACUGCGUUGCUUGAGGAUCAGAGGGGUGCAUGGAAUUUCCGGUGGAGCGGUGAAAUGCGUUGAUAUCGGAAGGAACUCCGGCGGCGAAAGCGAUGCACUGGCUGAUUUCUGACGCUGAGGUGCGAAAGCCAGGGGAGCAAACGGGAUUAGAUACCCCCGUAGUCCCUGUCUCUUAUAA